rnacentral:rRNA from 1 species
GAUGAACGCUGGCGGCGUGCCUAAUACAUGCAAGUCGAGCGAACAGAUAAGGAGCUUGCUCCUUUGACGUUAGCGGCGGACGGGUGAGUAACACGUGGGUAACCUACCUAUAAGACUGGAAUAACUCCGGGAAACCGGGUCUAAUGCCGGAUAACAUUUAGAACCGCAGGGUUCUAAAGUGAAAGAUGGUUUUGCUAUCACUUAUAGAUGGACCCGCGCCGUAUUAGCUAGCUGGUAAGGUAACGGCCUACCAAGGCAACGAUACGUAGCCGACCUGAGAGGGUGAUCAGCCACACUGGAACUGAGACACGGUCCAGACUCCUACGGGAGGCAGCAGUAGGGAAUCUUCCACAAUGGGCGAAAGCCUGACGGAGCAACGCCGCGUGAGUGAUGAAGGUCUUCGGAUCGUAAAACUCUGUUAUUAGGGAAGAACAAAUGUGUAAGUAACUGUGCACGUCUUGACGGUACCUAAUCAGAAAGCAACGGCUAACUACGUG